rnacentral:lncRNA from 1 species
UAGUGGCUUCUCCUUCUUUAGUGACUACAGGGUGCACCCAUCCUGUCAAGACAGCUUUCCAAGCCUUGUUAUCAAGGGAUUUUAAAAACGCUACCAUUCUAGGUUUCCAAUAGUCAUAGUUAGAACCAUCCAGGAUUGGUGGCCUAUGAACAGAUCCUCCAUCUCUUUCCAUUGUACCAGAAAGUAUUGCCCCUAGAUCUCAC